rnacentral:rRNA from 1 species
GAUGAACGCUAGCGGGAGGCUUAACACAUGCAAGUCGCGGGGUAACAGGAGUAGCAAUACUUGCUGACGACCGGCAGACGGGUGAGUAACACGUAUGCAACCUGCCCUUUACAGGAAGAUAGCCCGAAGAAAUUCGGAUUAAUAUUCCAUAAUUUAUUUUAAUCGCAUGAUUAAACUAAUAAAGCUCCGGCGGUAAAGGAUGGGCAUGCGUCCCAUUAGUUAGUUGGUGAGGUAACGGCUCACCAAGGCUACGAUGGGUAUGGGGUCUAAAAGGAUGGUCCCACACACUGGCACUGAGACACGGGCCAGACUCCUACGGGAGGCAGCAGUGAGGAAUAUUGGUCAAUGGGCGGAAGCCUGAACCAGCCAUCCCGCGUGCAGGAUGACAGUCCUAGUGAUUGUAAACUGCUUUUCUAUACGAAGAAUAAGAUCAACGAGUUGAUUGAUGACAGUAGUAUAGGAAUAAGCAUCGGCUAACUCCGUGCCAGCAGCCGCAGUAAUAC